rnacentral:rRNA from 1 species
GACGAACGCUGGCGGCAGGCCUAACACAUGCAAGUCGAGCGAGGACUUCGGUCCUAGCGGCGGACGGGUGAGUAACGCGUGGGAACGUGCCCUUUGCUACGGAAUAGCCCCGGGAAACUGGGAGUAAUACCGUAUGUGCCCGAGAGGGGAAAGAUUUAUCGGCAAAGGAUCGGCCCGCGUUGGAUUAGGUAGUUGGUGGGGUAAUGGCCUACCAAGCCGACGAUCCAUAGCAGGUUUGAGAGGAUGAUCAGCGACACUGGGACUGAGACACGGCCCAGACUCCUACGGGGGGCAGCAGUGGGGAAUCUUAGACAAUGGGGGAAACCCUGAUCUAGCCAUGCCGCGUGAGCGAUGAAGGCCUUAGGGUUGUAAAGCUCUUUCAGUGGGGAAGAUAUGACGGUACCCACAGAAGAGGCCCCGGCUAACUCCGUGCCAGCCGCCGCGGUAACAC